GGCUCAGGAUGAACGCUAGCGAUAGGCUUAACACAUGCAAGUCGAGGGGCAGCACGGUGUAGCAAUACACUGGUGGCGACCGGCGUACGGGUGCGUAACACGUAUGCAACCUACCCGCUAUUGGGGGAUAACCCGGCGAAAGUCGGACUAAUACCCCAUAUUAUUCUUACCGGGCAUCCGGUAGGUCUGAAAGAUUUAUCGAUUGCGGAUGGGCAUGCGGAUGAUUAGCUAGUAGGUGGGGUAACGGCUCACCUAGGCGACGAUCAUUAGGGGUUCUGAGAGGAAGGUCCCCCACACUGGAACUGAGACACGGUCCAGACUCCUACGGGAGGCAGCAGUGAGGAAUAUUGGUCAAUGGGCGCUAGCCUGAACCAGCCAAGUCGCGUGAAGGAUGACAGAAUCUAUGGUUUGUAAACUUCUUUUGCAGGGGAGUAAAGUGCGACACGUGUGUUGUAUUGCAAGUACCCUGCGAAUAAGCAUCGGCUAACUCCGUGCCAGCAGCUGC
rnacentral:rRNA from 1 species